GAUGAACGCUGGCGGCGUGCCUAACACAUGCAAGUCGAGCGAUUCUCUUCGGAGAAGAGCGGCGGACGGGUGAGUAACGCGUGGGUAACCUGCCCUGUACACACGGAUAACAUACCGAAAGGUAUGCUAAUACGAGAUAAUAUGCUUUUAUCGCAUGGUAGAAGUAUCAAAGUUUUUGCGGUACAGGAUGGACCCGCGUCUGAUUAGCUAGUUGGUAAGGUAACGGCUUACCAAGGCGACGAUCAGUAGCCGACCUGAGAGGGUGAUCGGCCACAUUGGAACUGAGACACGGUCCAAACUCCUACGGGAGGCAGCAGUGGGGAAUAUUGCACAAUGGGCGAAAGCCUGAUGCAGCAACGCCGCGUGAGCGAUGAAGGCCUUCGGGUCGUAAAGCUCUGUCCUCAAGGAAGAUAAUGACGGUACUUGAGGAGGAAGCCCCGGCUAACUACGUG
rnacentral:rRNA from 1 species